UACGUAGGGGGCGAGCGUUGUCCGGAUUUAUUGGGCGUAAAGAGCGUGUAGGCGGCCAGGUAGGUCUGCUGUGAAAACUCGAGGCUCAACCUCGAGACGUCGGCGGAAACCAUCUGGCUAGAGUCCGGAAGAGGAGAGUGGAAUUCCUGGUGUAGCGGUGAAAUGCGCAGAUAUCAGGAGGAACACCGGCGGCGAAGGCGGCCCUCUGGAUCGUUGCUGACGCUGAUACGCGAAAGCGUGGGGAGCAAACAGG
rnacentral:rRNA from 1 species